UGGAUAUUGGGGAAUAUUUCUUGAGGCCAACACAUUUUGUCCUAAAAGUAACUGCCAUCAGCACGUGAUUCUGGGUCCUUUCAUCCAGGUCGUUCCCCCUCUCCUGAUGAGGAUGCUGAGUCUGGAAAAUAAGGACAUGCAAAAGGCAGCAGCAACACGAAUGCCCACCAUGACAACCACACUGAAGCUGUGGCUGCUGUUUCAUGGACUUGGUUAAGUUGCCUGAAUUAUAAAUGGGAUCUCACCUGACCCUUUCUGAGAGAGGCUGAAGGAAAUGAGAACAGGUACAAAGUGACCAACAAUAAAAAUACUCCUCCUCCGGUCCACUCUGAAACAGUUUGGAUGGCCAAUCAAGUGGGACAUUCUUGGAGGGAACACUACAAGGAGAAGAAUGUUACCAAGCCUUCUGUUGCUACAAUCUCAAUACUGUGAUCAAUUUAACAAUUGCAGUGACAGCUUCCCUUAGGAUUUCAAAUUUAGACAGGUGAACAACCUCUGUCCUCCUUUGGGUAAAGCUCAGAGACAACUCAUAAAUAGUGAAGUCUGAUAAAAAAAACAACACAAUGGACUUUGUAAGAAAGAAAGAAAAAAGACCAAGUUAGUAAUAAAGAAGGUACAAGACAAGUACAAAAACUGAUUCAGUGGCUUGUUUUAUCUGUUCUAUUCUAGACCAUUAUGUUUUUUGAUGCUUCUAAACAACUGUUCUGUUGUUUUGUUUUUUUUUUCCCUAUAGUUCAGUACACCUCCUGAUGAGUUACAAACAAUUCACAUUCAUGCCAGAACAAUUUGGUUGCUACACACUGGGACUGCAAUGGGACUACAAUCAAAAAAGGGUUUCAGUUCAGCAUAUUCUGUUCCGCUCUUGUCCACAACAACCACCAGUCAAUAUCCUUGGAGGUCCAGCGCUGUUUUGUUGUUGGAUUUCAUUUCAUUUUCUUUAAAUGGCUGACAACUGGCACUAAUUACUUACCCCCACUCUCUUCCUAUCAUUACUGUCGCUGCACACAGCUCCAUCAGGGUUGGACAAGAGGCAGCUCUGUAGCAUGGCUGCUGCAUACCUCACUGCUCAGCAGCUGGACGCUCUUCUUCAGUCUCCUGUUUCUCUACCUGUGAUUCUGGAGGGAUGAGGUACUGUACCUCUUCAGUAUUGAUGGCCACUUUAUCAGGUUGCAGCCAUCUCUUCAGAUGCUCCAGCGUGCUCUCAUCAGAUUCAUGUCCC
rnacentral:lncRNA from 1 species